GACGAACGCUGGCGGCGUGCUUAACACAUGCAAGUCGAACGGAAAGGCCCUGCUUUUGUGGGGUGCUCGAGUGGCGAACGGGUGAGUAACACGUGAGUAACCUGCCCUUGACUUUGGGAUAACUUCAGGAAACUGGGGCUAAUACCGGAUAGGAGCUCCUGCUGCAUGGUGGGGGUUGGAAAGUUUCGGCGGUUGGGGAUGGAAUCGCGGCUUAUCAGCUUGUUGGUGGGGUAGUGGCUUACCAAGGCUUUGACGGGUAGCCGGCCUGAGAGGGUGACCGGCCACAUUGGGACUGGGAUACGGCCCAGACUCCUACGGGAGGCAGCAGUGGGGAAUAUUGCACAAUGGGCGGAAGCCUGAUGCAGCAACGCCGCGUGCGGGAUGACGGCCUUCGGGUUGUAAACCGCUUUCGCCUGUGACGAAGCGUGAGUGACGGUAAUGGGUAAAGAAGCACCGGCUAACUACGUG
rnacentral:rRNA from 1 species